UUUUAACUUGAGGUUGUGGAAAUUGUUAUACUUGAGACCUGGGUAUAGGUCGAACUUGAGUUUUUUUUUUUAACAUGAGUUUGUGUCGUGUUUGAACUUGAGCUUGUGGUGUUUUUGGACUUUAGUUUGUGGUGUUUUUGAACUUGAGUUUGUGUGUUUGUUGAACUUGAGUUUGUGUUGUGUUUGAACUUGAGUUUGUGGUGUUUUUUAACUUAAGUUUGUGGUGUUUUUGAACUUGAGUUUGUGUGUUUGUUGAACUUGAGUUUGCGGUGUGUUUGAACUAGAGUUUCUGUUGUUUUUGAACUUGAGUUUGUGUGUUUGUUGAACUUGAGUUUGUGUUGUGUUUGAACUUGAGUUUGUGGUGUUUUUGAACUUGAGUUUGUGUGUUUGUUGAACUUGAGUUUGUGUUGUGUUUGAACUUGAGUUUGUGGUGUUUUUGAACUUAAGUUUGUGGUGUUUUUGAACUUGAGUUUGUGUGUUUGUUGAACUUGAGUUUGCGGUGUGUUUGAACUAGAGUUUCUGUUGUUUUUGAACUUGAGUUUGUGGCAUUUGUUGAACUUGAGUUUGUGACGUGUUUGAACUUGGGUUUGUGUGUUUUUUGAACUUGAAUUUCUGUUGUUUUUGAACUUGAGGUAUUGGAAAUUGUUAAACCUUAGAAUCAGCUGUUGGUUGAACUUGAGUUUGUGUUUUGUUGAACUUGAGUUUGUGUUGUGUUUGAACUUGAGUUUGUGGUGUUUUUGAACUUGAGCUUGUG